rnacentral:lncRNA from 1 species
AAUAGGCAGAAAGGAGAACUGAAGGAGAAGUCUAGAGAAGCCAGCUACACCUACAUUAGAAAGAGUGGAACAGAUCACGGGUCACAGGAUUAAGGCUAGAUGGGGUUUGAGAUGUGGGAAGACUUGAGGUCAUUUUGAGUUUUGAGAAAAGGAGAGACAUGAAGAGGCAGAAAACAUGUUUACUGGACCCAGCUACUUUGCAGUGAUUAGUGGGACCUUCAGAACAUAAAUAGAUCCUAAGGAGUGAAUGCUUGUACCCCUUCCAAAAUUUAUAUGCUGAAGCCUUUAUAUGGUUGUAUGUAAAGACAGACCCACUAAUGAAGUAAUUAAGGUUAAAUGGAGUCAUAAGAGAGAGGCCCUAAUUCCAUAAGAUUAGUGUCCUUAUAAGAAGAGACUCCAGAGAACUCACUUUCUCACUCUCUCCCUCCCUUUCCUUGCAUACAAACCAAGGGAAAAUCAUAUGAGAACAUAGCAAGAAGGUAGCUGUCUGAAAGCCAGGAAGAGAGGCCUCAGCAGGAAAUGAAUCAGCAAGAACCUUGAUCUUGGACUUCUAGCCUCCAGAAUUCUUACAGUCUAUCAUGGAAUGCAGACAAGUCAACAGAUCUUUAUCUUUCAUUAAUAAUCGAUAUAGAAAAUAUAAACAUAAGGUGCCAUGGAAGAAUAUCUUCAAUCAAAUCCAGCAAAAUACCUGUUCUCUACGCUAGGUGCACAGGUGUCUUGACUCAUUGCUGCCACACAUUGGCCACUCUCAUCGAAUUCAGAGGACUCAUGGAAACCACACACCCACUAGCUGUUCCCUCAGAAGCCCCUGAAUUACCAACAAAAAGCUGGUUCGUCUCGGCUACUGAGAAAUAAUUUGUCAUGUUUCAUCCCCUAAAUGAAAGAUGCCAGACUGAAUGCCCGUCUGAGAAAGGGACAGAGCAUGAGAUCUAACAAAGAACCUCAGCACUCAAAAAGUUUACCACUAAAAUGGAGUGACAAGGAAAGCAGGGGAAGAAAAAUCACUACUGGAAGUACUGCUACUAUCACCACUGCUCCUGGGAGGAAUCACCGCAGCAGCUGUUCAUCAAGUGCUUCCUGCAGCCAAUCACUAGGCUAAAAGCACCUGACAUGCCACAUCACAGCAGCUUGCUAACAAUAGCUGCUGUGAUUCUCACUUAACAAUAAAAGUGUGGCUCAGCGAGGCCAAGGAGCUUUUUCAAAAUCUUGUCACUAAUAAAUCUCAGAGUCCAGGCUUGAACCCAUGUCAACCUGACCCUAACGCCUUGGUCUUCACCUGAGUGCUUGCUAUGUGCCAGGCAUUGUCAACAGUACUUUAUAUUAAUUGUGUCACUUAAUUGUUAAACAGCCCUAUCAGUUCUCCAUCAAUAUUCCCUGAAGGGAAUGGGGCCUUGGAAAGAUUAGUGAACUGGACCCCUGACAUGAUCUCUUCCUUCCAAUACUUACAAUAAACUACUGUUUAGUAUGGAGAAGAAAGACUAGUGGAUAUUGAAGAACUGGCAGAAUAAACACUUGCAUAGAUGGAAGAUGUACAGAGGAUGUAUGCGAUACAGGACUUUAAAGAAUGCUGACAUCUUUGUGGCUGAAAUUAAUUGGAAAUUUUAAAGUUCUUGAAAAAUGUCGAGUUGAUUUCUCAGAUGUUUUACUCACCGAUAAUAUGUGCUUUAUCCACGUCAGUGCACUUUUGCCAUAAAUUAUUGUUGUUAUCACUAUUAUUAUUUUACUUUGCCAAUCUGAAAUCCGUCCUGGAAUUUGGCACAUGUAUGGGAUAUGGAUAGAAAAUAAGAGCAAAGAGGAAUUCAAGAUAAUGAGGCAAUAUAAACAAAAGUUGAAAAGAGAAAAUGAGCAUGCAGUGCCUAGAGAUGCCAAGGAAUCCAGAUCACUGAGGUCGGAUAGAUGUGUCUUUCCAGAAUUUGAUGAGGUUAACCAGGUAGAGCCAGAUGGUAGAGAUCCUUGAAUACCAGGCAAGGGAGUUCAUCUCUCCACCUGUAAGCAUGAAGGAGCCACGGGAGAUUUUGCAAAGGGAAUGACCAAAACGAAAAUGGCAUUUAGGAAAUGAGUUUGCCAGAAGUACCUGGGAGAAAUGGGGACUAGGCACUGAGAAUGUAAUUCAUAGCACAGCAGAACAGAUACUAAAAGAUCGUUCUGGAAGCAGAAGGGCUGGUUUCCAGCUUUUCUGAGGUUGUUUCACUGUGGGUAACUGCUAAGGCCUUCACCCUUGAUGCCAGAGGUGCUGAAACACAUUGCCACACGGCGAAAGAAGUGCCCUAUUGGCCCAAACACAUUGAAUAAACAUCUACCUCAAACCUU